rnacentral:lncRNA from 1 species
UUUGAAAUUAAAUUAGAAUUUAGAAUUUGAAAUGUGAAUUUGAAUUUAAAAUUAAAAAUUAAAAAUUAAAUACGAAAUCGUAAUUUGAAUUCCAAUUUAAAUUUGAAUCCAAAAUCAAAAUUUUAAUUUAAAAUUUAAAUCUUAAAUUUAAAAUCUUGUUUUGAAUUUAUAAAUUUAAUAGGUUAAUUACACAAUUGGUUCCCAACUUUUGCACCGUUUUUCAAUUUGGUCCCCAACCUCUUUGAAUCUGCUGACACAGUGCCACCGUGGCGCUGACACAACGCCUCCGUAGCGCUGGUAUGGCGCCUCCGUGGCACUGACAUGAUGCUAACGUGGCAUUUUUCAUCAAUUUUAACACCUAUCUAACGGCUGAGACUUAAUUGUAAUGAAAUCAAGAGUUUAGGGACUUGAUUGCAAAAAAGAAAAAGGUUGGGAAAUAAAUUGAAAAAUGAUAAAAAGGUUAGGGACCAUUGGUGUAAUUAACCCGAAAAAAAAACUAAAGUGUUCCAUCCGUUAUCAUGUUUUACUAGUGUAGUAAUCUAUACAAUGCGAUAAAUAAAUAAUUAAAAAAAUAAAAAAUGGUGAUAAAGAAAGAGAAAAUUGUGAUGGAAGAAACGACGAUAAGGAUAUGUUUGUUUCACCGAAACUAAAUUUUGAAUUGAAAUAGACUUUGGAUUGAAGUGGAGUUCGGUGAAAACUAUUUCUUCCCCACUAUUUGUUUCGUAGUUAUGGUCUGAGAUAUCAAUCACCAAGCCCUUUGUUACUUACGUUAGGGAUGGUCAAUCAUAGAACAAAAUUUUGAUGGCGAU